UAUUACUUCGAUCGUGGAAAACCCAGACACAAUAGCUUAUCUAAAUAUUAUCGCGGUCGCCGGUGACCGCUUGGGGACUUUUAAAGCAUUAG